AGAAUAGUAACCAGAUGACAAAAGGAAACAAGGUGAAUAAGUCAAGCUUGACUGGUUGAAGAGAGAGCAGAAAUAGGCCAGGACCACAGCUUAUCCCAGCGAAUCAUGAAUCGGUUCAACUCCAGAGAUUUUUCUAAGGUUUAUUAAUAGGCAGUGGGCCCCACAGGAAAACAGAGGCGACGCCCAGUAUCUGGGAUGCAAGCUCAGCAUGUACACUGUGAGAGUAUGGUGCUCGUGUCCGCUUCGCAACUGGGCGACACGGCCACAGUUUUGGGGUAUGGUCGUGCCUUAGCCAUUUUAGAGUCAGUUGUUCAAGUAGGCAGCAUCUUAGGAGUCUAGCCUAAUCUAAGUAUGAUAGUCUUCUCUUUAUUACUCUCUUUGUCUAGUAAAGUUUCCCACAUCUUAACAAGA